AUCAAAAAGAAUGCAAUACCGCGAGGUGGAGCAAAUCUCUAAAAAUAGUCUCUCAGUUCGGAUUGUAGUCUGCAACUCGACUACNUAAAGCUGGAAUCGCUAGUAAUCGUGAAUCAGCAAUGUCACGGUGAAUACGUUCCCGGGUCUUGUACUCACCGCCCGUCACACCAUGGGAGUUGUAUUCGCCUUAAGUCGGGAUACUAAAUUGGUUACCGCCCACGGCGGAUGCAGCGACUGGGGUGAAGUCGUAACAAGGUAAC
rnacentral:rRNA from 1 species